rnacentral:rRNA from 1 species
CUCAAAUUUGAAAUCUGGGUCUUUUAGGCUCCGAGUUGUAAUUUGUAGAAGAUGCUUUGGGUGCGGCCCCGGUCUAAGUUCCUUGGAACAGGACGUCAUAGAGGGUGAGAAUCCCGUAUGUGAUCGGUGGCUUGCGCCCGUGUAAAGCUCUUUCGACGAGUCGGGUUGUUUGGGAAUGCAGCUCUAAAUGGGUGGUAAAUUUCAUCUAAAGCUAAAUAUUGGCCAGAGACCGAUAGCGCACAAGUAGAGUGAUCGAAAGAUGAAAAGCACUUUGGAAAGAGAGUUAAACAGUACGUGAAAUUGUUGAAAGGGAAGCGCUUGCAACCAGACUUGCGCGGGGUUGAUCAUCCGGGGUUCUCCCCGGUGCACUCGGCCUCGCUCAGGCCAGCAUCGGUUUUGGUGGUUGGAUAAAGGCCUUGGGAAUGUGACUUCUUUCGGGGAGUGUUAUAGCCCUCGGUGCAAUGCAGCCUACCGGGACCGAGGACCGCGCUUCGGCUAGGAUGCUGGCGUAAUGGUUGUAAGCGACCCGUCUUGAAACACGGACCAAGGAGUCUAACAUCUAUGCGAGUGUUUGGGUGUCAAACCCAUACGCGUAAUGAAAGUGAACGGAGGUGAGAACCCUUAAGGGUGCAUCAUCGACCGAUCCUGAUGUCUUCGGAUGGAUUUGAGUAAGAGCAUAGCUGUUGGGACCCGAAAGAUGGUGAACUAUGCCUGAAUAGGGUGAAGCCAGAGGAAACUC